GACGAACGCUGGCGGCGUGCUUAACACAUGCAAGUCGAACGGAAAGGCCCUGCUUUUGUGGGGUGCUCGAGUGGCGAACGGGUGAGUAACACGUGAGUAACCUGCCCUUGACUUUGGGAUAACUUCAGGAAACUGGGGCUAAUACCGGAUAGGAGCUCCUGCUGCAUGGUGGGGGUUGGAAAGUUUCGGCGGUUGGGGAUGGUCUCGCGGCUUAUCAGCUUGUUGGUGGGGUAGUGGCUUACCAAGGCUUUGACGGGUAGCCGGCCUGAGAGGGUGACCGGCCACAUUGGGACUGGGGUACGGCCCGGACUGCUACGUGAGGCAGCAGUGGGGGAUAGUGCGCAAUGCGCGGAAGCCUGAUGCAGGAACGCCGCGUGCGAGAUGACGGCCUUCGGGUUGUAAACCGCUUGCGCCUGUGACGGAGCGUGAGUGACGGUAAUGGGUAAAGAAGCACCGGCUAACUACGU
rnacentral:rRNA from 1 species